GUUGGGGUUGUAGGACACUCUAUACGGAGUUACAAAGGACGACAUUAGACGAAUCAUCUGGAAAGAUGAAUCAAAGAAGGUAAUAAUCCUGUAGUCGAAAAUGUUGUCUCUCUUGAGUGGAUCCUGAGUACGACGGAGCACGUGAAAUUCCGUCGGAAUCUGGGAGGACCAUCUCCUAAGGCUAAAUACUCUCUAGUGACCGAUAGUGAACCAGUACCGUGAGGGAAAGGUGAAAAGCACCCCGGAAGGGGAGUGAAAUAGAACCUGAAACCGUGUGCUUACAAGUAGUCAGAGCCCGUUAAUGGGUGAUGGCGUGCCUUUUGUAGAAUGAACCGGCGAGUUACGAUUUGAUGCAAGGUUAAGCAGUAAAUGUGGAGCCGUAGCGAAAGCGAGUCUGAAUAGGGCGUUUAGUAUUUGGUCGUAGACCCGAAACCAGGUGAUCUACCCUUGGUCAGGUUGAAGUUCAGGUAACACUGAAUGGAGGACCGAACCGACUUACGUUGAAAAGUGAGCGGAUGAACUGAGGGUAGCGGAGAAAUUCCAAUCGAACCUGGAGAUAGCUGGUUCUCUCCGAAAUAGCUUUAGGGCUAGCCUCAAGUGAUGAUUAUUGGAGGUAG
rnacentral:rRNA from 1 species